rnacentral:siRNA from 1 species
CUUGGUUGAAAAGCCAGUGGCGC